rnacentral:rRNA from 1 species
CUACGGGGCGCUGCAGUUUCGAAUAAUUCACAAUGGGCGCAAGCCUGAUGAUGCGACGUUACGUGAAGGAAGAAAGCUUUAAGUUGUAAACUUCUGUCGUUAAGGAACAAAAAAUUAAGUAGUACUUUUUAUAUUGAGUUAACUUAAAAAGGAAGCAGUGGCUAAUUUCGUGCCAGCAGCCGCGGUAAUACGGGAACUGCAAGCGUUGCUCGGUAUUAUUGGGCGUAAAGAGUACGUAGGCUGUUAUAUAUGUUAAUUGUUAAAUUUUAAAGUUAAUCUUUAAAUUUGCUGUUAAAACUAUAUAACUAGAAUUUCAAAGAGGUAAGUGGAAUUUCAAGUGUAGCGGUGAAAUGCGUAGAUAUUUGAAGGAACACCAAUGGCGAAAGCAACUUACUGGGUGAUAAUUGACGCUAAAGUACGAAAGUAUAGGGAGCAAAAGGGAUUAGAUACCCGUGUAGUC